rnacentral:rRNA from 1 species
AGUGAACGCUGGCGGUAGGCCUAACACAUGCAAGUCGAACGGCAGCACAGUAAGAGCUUGCUCUUACGGGUGGCGAGUGGCGGACGGGUGAGGAAUACAUCGGAAUCUACUUUUUCGUGGGGGAUAACGUAGGGAAACUUACGCUAAUACCGCAUACGACCUACGGGUGAAAGCAGGGGAUCUUCGGACCUUGCGCGAUUGAAUGAGCCGAUGUCGGAGUAGCUAGUUGGCGGGGUAAAGGCCCACCAAGGCGACGAUCCGUAGCUGGUCUGAGAGGAUGAUCAGCCACACUGGAACUGAGACACGGUCCAGACUCCUACGGGAGGCAGCAGUGGGGAAUAUUGGACAAUGGGCGCAAGCCUUAUCCAGCCAUACCGCGUGGGUGAAGAAGGCCUUCGGGUUGUAAAGCCCUUUUGUUGGGAAAGAAAAGCAGCAGGUUAAUACCCCGCUGUUCCGACGGUACCCAAAGAAUAAGCACCGGCUAACUUCGUG